GGUGAAUAGAAAUGAAGAAACACAAAAGAAAGCUGCCAAUUGGAUAUGGGUAUUGUAGCUGAAACGUCUUGCGAGCUGAGUCAGGGUCGGGGAAGCUGUGAUGGCAAUGAGAAGUCAACACACUGAGGAUGGAGAGAAAGAAGAUGAGUCUGGGAGAGAAAGAGAAUGAUUCUUCUGGCCGAGGGAAAGCAAGAAUAUCUGUUCCUGCAACUGCACUGAUUCUAGAAACACUCUCUAUUCGAACUCUCAUGAGAUGGACCGAAAAUGCUGACGCCAAUGCCAAGGAAAAAAGUGUCUUGAAAAAGCAGCCGUGGACGUGGAGUUACCAAAUCAUCCGAAGUGGCUCCUGGACCGGGUGGAGGAGCCAGGCUGCAGAAAUGCAGUUCAUCGCAGGAGUUUUCCUGAACAGAGAAAAGUCUCCACAGAAUAGCAAAAAUAGCAAAAACUCGAAGUCAAGGGUCUUGAGGUCUAAAUUUUCUGUGUGACCCCAGGGAAAUCGUUUCAUCUUUCUAGGUCUUCACAUCCUCACCUGAAAAAUAAAGUGCUUGGCUAAGAAAGGCU
rnacentral:lncRNA from 1 species